rnacentral:tRNA from 1 species
UCCCUGGUGGUCUAGUGGUUAGGAUUCAGCACUUUCACCGCUGCAGCCCAGGUUCGAUUCCUGGUUAGGGAC